rnacentral:rRNA from 1 species
UACGUAGGGGGCAAGCGUUGUCCGGAUUUAUUGGGCGUAAAGAGCGUGUAGGCGGUUUGGUAGGUCCGCUGUGAAAACUCGAGGCUCAACCUCGAGACGCCGGUGGAAACCAUCAGACUAGAGUCCGGAAGAGGAGAGUGGAAUUCCUGGUGUAGCGGUGAAAUGCGCAGAUAUCAGGAGGAACACCGGUGGCGAAGGCGGGUCUCUGGGCAUUAACUGACGCUGAGGAGCGAAAGCAUGGGGAGCGAACAGG